rnacentral:rRNA from 1 species
AUGAACGCUGGCGGCGUGCCUAAUACAUGCAAGUCGAGCGAACGGACAAGAAGCUUGCUUCUCUGAUGUUAGCGGCGGACGGGUGAGUAACACGUGGAUAACCUACCUAUAAGACUGGGAUAACUUCGGGAAACCGGAGCUAAUACCGGAUAAUAUUUUGAACCGCAUGGUUCAAAAGUGAAAGACGGUCUUGCUGUCACUUAUAGAUGGAUCCGCGCUGCAUUAGCUAGUUGGUAAGGUAACGGCUUACCAAGGCAACGAUGCAUAGCCGACCUGAGAGGGGGGUCGGCCACACUGGAACUGAGACACGGUCCAGACUCCUACGGGAGGCAGCAGUAGGGAAUCUUCCGCAAUGGGCGAAAGCCUGACGGAGCAACGCCGCGUGAGUGAUGAAGGUCUUCGGAUCGUAAAACUCUGUUAUUAGGGAAGAACAUAUGUGUAAGUAACUGUGCACAUCUUGACGGUACCGAAUCAGAAAGCCACGGCUAACUACGU